UGCAACAAAGGGUAAACGCACCUCAUGAG
rnacentral:piRNA from 1 species